CUUCAGUGACUUGUUGUGGACAGAUGUAGUGUACAUGCGCAUCUACGGCUCCCGCUGUCACGAUUAGUUUUUCCCCGGCGAUGACCUCCGUCGAGGAGCCGAUGACGAGGUUCGGGUGGACGGAAUCCAUCACAUCUGGGUUACCGGCUUUGCCAAUGCCUACGAUGAUCCCGCUACUGACGCCAAUAUCUGCCUACAAGGCAAAAAAGGCCAUGAGGCACCUGACGGAAUGAAUAAGAGGGGGUUCACCUUGUAAAUACCGGUCCAAUCAACAAUUACAGCGUUUGUGAUAACCAGAUCGAGAGCCUUUGCACAGCUGCAGUCACAUGCUUGGCCCAUGCCGUCCCUGAU
rnacentral:sRNA from 1 species